rnacentral:tRNA from 1 species
GAGGGUAUAGCUCAGUGGUAGAGUGUGUGCUUAGCAUGCAUGAGGUCCUGGGUUCAAUCUCCAGUUCCUCCA